rnacentral:rRNA from 1 species
AGGACGAACGCUGGCGGCGUGCUUAACACAUGCAAGUCGAACGGUGAAACACCUUCGGGUGUGGAUCAGUGGCGAACGGGUGAGUAACACGUGGGCAACCUGCCCCUGACUUCGGAAUAACCUCGGGAAACCGAGGCUAAUACCGGAUACGACUUCGAGCGGCAUCGCUCGUGGUGGAAAGUUUUUCGGUCAGGGAUGGGCCCGCGGCCUAUCAGCUUGUUGGUGGGGUAACGCCUACCAAGGCGACUACGGGUAGCCGGCCUGAGAGGCGACCGGCCA